AGGGUUCGAUCAUGGCUCAGGACAAACGCUGGCGGCGUGCUUAACACAUGCAAGUCAAGGAGAACGUCAUCUUCGGAUGACAAGUAAACUGGCGGACGGGUGAGUAACGCGUAGGCUACCUGCCUUUAAGAUUGGGAUAACGUUUGGAAACGAACGCUAAUACCAUAUAAUAUUCUUUGAAUCAAAGAGGGCUUCGGCUCUUACUUAAAGAUGGGCCUGCGUCUGAUUAGCUAGAUGGUAAGGUAAUGGCUUACCAUGGCAACGAUCAGUAGCUGGUUCGAGAGGAUGAUCAGCCACACUGGGACUGAGAUACGGCCCAGACUCCUACGGGAGGCAGCAGUGGGGAAUUUUGCGCAAUGAGGGAAACCUUGACGCAGCAACGCCGCGUGAUCGAAGAAGCUUCUAGGAGUGUAAAGAUCUGUCAUAGGGGAAGAACUGCAUUUAUUCUAACACAAUAUUUGCUUGACGGUACCCUAUAAGAAAGCUCCGGCUAACUAGGUGCCAGCCGCCGCGGUAAUAC
rnacentral:rRNA from 1 species